GUUGAGUAUUAUCUCAAUUCUUUUGAUAGUCCUGGGGCAAUUUUAGUUUCAGUUUUAUUGCAGGAGGACAAUUAGCCCAAAUGGCGAAGGGCGAUGAUCAAUGCACUUCGAGCCAAGAACAAAACUUGUUUUAUUGAUGGAUCUUUGCCACGACCGGCUGAAUCAUCAAAAGACUAUGCAAACUGGGAGAAGAACAAUUCGAUGGUGUCGUCCUAGCUAUUCAACUCACUCCAUUCUUCUCUUCACGAUAGUGUUGCUUAUUAUGACACAGCAAGAGAAGUCUGGAAGGACCUCAAAGAACGUUUAUCACAAGGGAAUGCUCCCCGAUUAUACCAGCUCAGAAUGGAAAUAGUAAACACACAACAACAAAAUUUGUCAGUGGCGCAGUACUACACCAAAUUGAAAGGCUUGUGGGAUAAGCUCAAUUCGUAUUCAAAAGUUCCAUCGUAUUCUUGUGGUUCUGCAAAGGUAUUUGCCACAGAGAAGUAGAAAGAAAAAGUUCUUCAAUUUCUGAUGGGGCUGCAUGAUAGAUACUAGAUUGUGAGCUCACAAAUCCUCAAUACAGACCCAUUAUUGACAUUGGCACGAUUUGAUGCCUUGGUUACUCAAGAAGAACGCCAGCAAACUGUGACUGCAAUGAAGGGUGUACCCACGAUUGAAGCUGCGGCCUUUGUUUGCUCUAAACCAAUUAACAAAGGUGCUAGUGGUAAUCCUCCUACAAAUUUGAAAGGUAUUGUUUUGUGAAUAUUGUAAGAGAUGGAAGCAUACCAAAGACACUUGCUUCAAACUUCAUGGCUUCCUAGAUUGGUGGAACAAGCCAAAUCGCAAUCCUAGAGGAAAAUCUACUAAUGUUGCACAAGGACAGAAUAGUGAGGAAGAACCUGCAGUUUCUCCUAUUGCAGGGUUGUCUUCAUAUCAGUAUUCACAACUCAUGGCUUUGCUAAAAUUGGAGAAUGGGCAGAGCAUAAACACUAUAGCUAACUUUGCUGGUAAGGCCCUUGCUUUGUCCAAUGAAAAUGUUGAAUGGAUAUUAGAUUCUAGAGCCUCCGAUCAUAUGACAUAUCACAAGGAUGUACUGACCUACGAGACACCACUCUCUUGUACCUCACCCGUACGGAUUCCAGAUGGGAAAUUUGUUUCAGCAACGUCCCAUGGAACCGUACCACUUAGGUCUACUAUUGUUUUAAAGAAUGUUUUACAUAUUCCUACCUUUACUUGUAAUUUGAUUUCCAUUAGCAAGUUAACCAAUUCUCUCAAUUGUGUGGCUCAUUUUUUUCCCACCUUUUGUGUUCUUCAGGGCCUAGCCACGAGGAAGUUGAUUGGCAAGGGUGAAUUGAGGAACGGAUUGUAUUAUUUUCGAGAAGUUCAAACUCCUGUGGCUUCAGUAGCUUCUGGUGGUGCACUUCUUUCCUUGUGGCAUCAACGAUUAGGUCAUGUGCCUUUGAAUAAGUUGUCUUUUUUGGAUACUUUCAGUAUUUCAAUGCCAAACAAUCACCUGCUAUUUGUGAUGCUUGUCAUGGAGCAAAACUGACACGACAACCCUUUUCAAUUAGCGCUAUUAAAAGCUCUAAACCUUUCGAUUUAAUUCAUUGUGAUGUUUAGGGUCCAUAUCAGAUAGCCUCUCUUUCUCAUUCACAUUAUUUCUUGAGUAUUGUUGAUGAUUUCACUCGUACUGUAUGGGUCUAUUUGUUUAAAAACAAGACUGAGGUUUUCACUUUGCUUACAUCCUUUUUAGCCAUGGUUCAUAGACAAUAUGGUCAUCUUGUCAAAAUUAUUCGGAGUGAUAAUGGGACUGAAUUUACCAAUAUUUCCCUACAACAGUUUUGCUUGCAAGAAGGUAUUUUCAAUCAAUUCCCUUGCAUUUCUACCCCCCAACAAAAUGGGGUGGUGGAACGCAAACAUAGACAUCUUCUUGAAGUUGCACGUGAUUUACGUUUCCAUGCUAGUUUACCUAUAAAAUUUUGGGGGGAAUGUGUUUUGACUGCAGCUUACCUUAUCAACCAUACUCCAACUCCUCUUUUGAAGAACAAGAGUCCUUUUGAAAUGUUGUUUACCACAAAGCCAAACUAUCACCAUCUCCGGGUUUUUGGUUGUCUCGGUUACGCAUUUGUUUUGCUUCGUUCCACAGAUAAGUUUCAUGAAAAAGCCAUCCCCUGUGUCUUUCUGGGGUAUCCCUUCAGCCAAAAAGGAUAUAAACUUUAUAAUUUAAAAACCUGUCAAGUCUUUGUUUCAAGGGAUUUUAUCUUCUACGAAACUAUUUUUCCCUUCAAGAGUGAUCCUAAGCUAAGUUUUGCACCUAUCACUAAUACGCCUCUACCUUUACCCCAUCCUUUAUGAUAUAUCUUUGGAUCAAGAAAUUGAUUCUUUUACUCAUGAUCACAAUUCAAAUCAAAAUUCAGUAAUGACCACAGACAAUGAUCCUGCCAUUGAACCUGUGACAACACUUGAUCCCUCAUCUCCUGUUAAUGAAUCAAACCAAGAACCCAUUGUUCCACGUCCUACUCAGACCAGGGUCCUUCCUACACAUUUGCGUGAUUUUCACAUUGAUCUUCCUGGACAUAAUACGGGUCUUUACAGCAAUUCUACCGACCAAUCUUCCUCAAGUAUUUCUUACCCUAUUUCACAUAUUGUUACUUUAUGAAAAAUUUUCUCCUCGUCAUCCUUCUUUCCUAGCAGCUAUUCAAAAACAAGAAGAGCCAUCUACCUAUCGCAAAGCUGUUAAACAUCCUCAGUGGCAAGAAGCCAUGAAACUUGAACUUGAAGCUUUGGAACAAAAUAACACUUGGACCUUGCAACAAUUACCACCAGCAAAAACUGCUAUAGGAUGCAAGUGGGUGUAUAAGAUCAAAUAUAAAUCUGAUGGGUCUGUUGAGCGGUAUAUGACCAGACUAAUAACAAAAGGUUGUACUCAGAUUGAAGGACUAGACUAUAUAGAAACUUUUGCUUCAGUAGCCAAACUCAUCACAGUGCGUAUUUUAAUUUCCAUUGCUGUAGCUAAAAAUUGGCAUCUCUAUCAGUUAGAUGUCCAUAAUGCGUUCAUUCAUGGGGAUCUGAAUGAAUAAGUUUACAUGACACCGCCACCUAGUUACUGGUCAUCAGGAGAUUCCAGGGUCUGUAAACUAAACUGAUCCUUAUAUGGUCUCAAACAAGCAUCACGCUAAUGGUUUGCAAAAUUUUCCAAGGCUAUCCUCACUUAUGGGUUCAUCCAAUCUCAGGCGGAUAAUUCCCUAUUUACAUACAAGAAGGGUGAUUCCUUUAUGGCACUCUUGGUAUAUGUUGAUGAU
rnacentral:misc_RNA from 1 species